GCCUGGGUGGCUCAGUCGGUUGAGCGUCCGACUUCGGCUCAGGUCACGAUCUCGCGGUUUGUGGGUUCGAGCCCCGCAUCGGGCU
rnacentral:tRNA from 1 species